AGUGAACGCUGGCGGUAGGCCUAACACAUGCAAGUCGAACGGCAGCACAGUAAGAGCUUGCUCUUACGGGUGGCGAGUGGCGGACGGGUGAGGAAUACAUCGGAAUCUACUUUUUCGUGGGGGAUAACGUAGGGAAACUUACGCUAAUACCGCAUACGACCUACGGGUGAAAGCAGGGGAUCUUCGGACCUUGCGCGAUUGAAUGAGCCGAUGUCGGAUUAGCUAGUUGGCGGGGUAAAGGCCCACCAAGGCGACGAUCCGUAGCUGGUCUGAGAGGAUGAUCAGCCACACUGGAACUUGGACACGGUCCAGACUCCUACGGGAGGCAGCGGUGGGGAAUAUUGGACAAUGGGCGCAAGCCUGAUCCAGCCAUACCGCGUGGGUGAAGAAGGCCUUCGGGUUGUAAAGCCCUUUUGUUGGGAAAGAAAAGCAGCAGGUUAAUACCCCGCUGUUCUGACGGUACCCAAAGAAUAAGCACCGGCUAACUUCGUG
rnacentral:rRNA from 1 species